UCUGCUCAGGAAGAUGAAGGUGUUGACUAUCACCGCGCUCUUAGCCUGCGUACUCGGCUUUGGUAAGGACAAGGUUUGGGAUGGAAGCUGGGAUUGGAAUACAAGCUACAUGCUUUAUAAAUGAAAUAUUCCAAUAUUGUUUUAUUUUCUACCGAAUAAGAUUAUUACAUAUAUUAGCUUUUUCUCUCGUCUGGCACAAAAUACAGAGAGAUUGGUCCACUAUAACUACUUUGUCUAAUGGCAGUUUUUCAUAACAAUAUUGGUUAAAAUGUUUAACUGCAUAUAAUUUAAAUAUAAUCUAUAUAAAUGGAAUCUAUCGUCCUAUAUAGAAAUAAGCUAUUUAUCUAGAUGAAAAUAAUAAGUAAUGUUUUUAUUAAAUUGUCUAUCAUUUCACCAUACAGAAUUUGAUCUCUGAACUGUAUCAAGUUGUGUGAAAUUCUGCUUGUGCUGGGUGGGUGGGUGCUUGGUGGGGGGGUGGGUGAGUGCUGAGUGGGUGCUUGGUGGGGGGUUGUUGGGUUUGUUCAAAUACAAAUUUCAGGUCAGAGUAGUCAAACUGGCAGCAUCUCUGACAUGGUGUGGUGUGCCUCUCCAUAGUGGAAGCACUAUGCUUAAGCCUGCUUAAACCUGCAGGAGCGAUACCACCUGCAGUGACUCUUGUUGAAGAGGCUGCACACACCUUUUUUAUUUUCCUGCCGACAUACCGGUUAGUAUGCUGCCCCAGAAAAAGGGAGAUGGGCGACACUGAAUACCAAAUUCCAUCCCCGGGCAAGCCACCAUGUUUAGGUGGAAUUGCUGGCUGUACCAAAACCAGCAUUGCCCACCAAAAAUGUUGUACUCCCCCCCCCCCCAGAUCAUGUUCAAAUACCCAAAAAGAGAGAGAGCAGAGCCCUCUCCGGAAACUGACAAACCAAGAUGCAUCAUCAAUUAUAACAAUGAUUUUGACAUGUUUUUAUCAAACGUUAUGAAAAUUAUAGGAAAAAAAAAAAUUGGUCAGAAAAGUCAAGUUAGAAAAAUUGGAAAAGUCAGCUAUGAUUUCAAUUUGGCGUAUUUUGCCCUGAAAUGUUAAAGUCACUUUGAAUUGUCAACAAUUCACGCUUUUUUUGAAAAACCCUGCUAGUGUUUUAUACAGUGUAUUACAAUUAUAAUACAUUGUGUGUUCCUUGUAUUUCUGUUGUUAAAUAUUUUCGUAAAUGAACUAUUGAUUAAAUAGUACAAUAGUAAAAAGCACAACAUUAAAGGGACUCAAUGUUACUAAAAUAACUUUAGCUUAAUGAAGCAGUUUUGGUGUAUGGAUCAUACUCCUGCAAUCUCACUGCUCAAUUGUCUGCCAUUUAGGAGUUAAAUCACUUCUGUUUUUGCAGCUCUAGCCAAACUUCCCCUGACUGUGACACACACAGACUCAAUGAAAAUAAAAUGAUUUCAUUUUCAAUCAGAAUUUAAUUUUUAUUUCCUUCUCUGUAAAUUGAACAUUAAUUACACACAGGAGGCUCCUGCAGGAUCUAGCAAGCUAUUAACAGAGCAGGAGAUAGGAAAUUCUAAAUUAAACAGAAUAAAGGAAAUGUAAACAUUAGAUGACUCUUUACAGGAAGUGUUUAGGAGGGCUGUGCAAGUUACAUACAGGGAGGUGUGACUAUGGCAGCAUAAACAAAGUGAUUUAACUCCUAAAUGGCAGAAAGUUAAGCAGUGAGACAGCACGGGCAUGAUCUAUACACCAAAACUGUUUCAUUACACUAAAGUUGUUUUGGUGACUAUAGUGAUCCUUUAAAAUGAGCUCAUUUCAGCUGUAUAGGAAAAGUUAUGAUUAUGACGGUUACUUCUCAGCCAACUCAUGAUGUUUUUUCUUCAUCCUCCAGGACAAGCCUAUCAAUGUUACACGUGCAAUAUGGCUACUAAUGAUGCAGAAUGUAUGCAAGUCACCAACUGCUCGUCCCCAACUCCCUACUGUGGGUCCGUAGUUGGUAUGUUGCUUAAAAAACAGAAAACUAAUAAUUAGCCCACUUGUAUUUUAAUUGUUUCUCAUGUUUUAGAGCUGUGAUAUUUAUCAACAUGUCAGAUUAUUCUGUAAAACUAAUAUGGGAAAAUGCAGACUUUGUACCAUACAUCGACAACUUUUAUUCCAUGUGAUCUGCUGCGGGCUCUGUUCCCCUUAGCAUAGACUAGACUUUUAAAGGUGCCUCCCCUGAAGCCCAUCAG